CGCGUAGGCGGUUUGGCAAGUCUGACGUGAAAUGUACCGGUUCAACCGGGGCGCUGUGUCAGAAACUGCCAUACUCGAGGUCGAGGGAGGAGAGUGGAAUUCCUGGUGUAGCGGUGAAAUGCGUAGAUAUCAGGAAGAACACCAGUAGCGAAGGCGGCUCUCUGGACUGAAACUGACGCUGAGGCACGAAAGCGUGGGGAGCGAACA
rnacentral:rRNA from 1 species